rnacentral:rRNA from 1 species
ACUACACUCCUGCGGGAGGCAGCAGUGGGGAAUAUUGGACAAUGGGCGCAAGCCUGAUCCAGCCAUGCCGCGUGAGUGAUGAAGGCCCUAGGGUUGUAAAGCUCUUUCACCGGUGAAGAUAAUGACGGUAACCGGAGAAGAAGCCCCGGCUAACUUCGUGCCAGCAGCCGCGGUAAUACGAAGGGGGCUAGCGUUGUUCGGAUUUACUGGGCGUAAAGCGCACGUAGGCGGACUAUUAAGUCAGGGGUGAAAUCCCGGGGCUCAACCCCGGAACUGCCUUUGAUACUGGUAGUCUUGAGUUCGAGAGAGGUGAGUGGAAUUCCGAGUGUAGAGGUGAAAUUCGUAGAUAUUCGGAGGAACACCAGUGGCGAAGGCGGCUCACUGGCUCGAUACUGACGCUGAGGUGCGAAAGCGUGGGGAGCAAACAGGAUUAGAUACCCUAGUAGUCCCAUGAU